rnacentral:rRNA from 1 species
AUUGAACGCUGGCGGCAGGCCUAACACAUGCAAGUCGAACGGUAGCACAGAGAGCUUGCUCUCGGGUGACGAGUGGCGGACGGGUGAGUAACGUCUGGGAAACUGCCCGAUGGAGGGGGAUAACUACUGGAAACGGUAGCUAAUACCGCAUAACGUCGCAAGACCAAAGUGGGGGACCUUCGGGCCUCACACCAUCGGAUGUGCCCAGAUGGGAUUAGCUAGUAGGUGGGGUAAUGGCUCACCUAGGCGACGGUCCCUAGCUGGUCUGAGAGGAUGACCAGCCACACUGGAACUGAGACACGGUCCAGACUCCUACGGGAGGCAGCAGUGGGGAAUAUUGCACAAUGGGCGCAAGCCUGAUGCAGCCAUGCCGCGUGUAUGAAGAAGGCCUUCGGGUUGUAAAGUACUUUCAGCGGGGAGGAAGGCGGUGAAGUUAAUAGCUUCACCGAUUGACGUUACCCACAGAAGAAGCACCGGCUAACUCCGUGCCAGCAGCCGCCGUAA